UACAGAGGGUGCGAGCGUUAAUCGGAAUUACUGGGCGUAAAGCGUGCGUAGACGGUUUCGUAAGUCGGGUGUGAAAUCCCCGGGCUCAACCUGGGAAUUGCAUUCGAAACUGCGAGGCUAGGGUGCGGAAGAGGGAAGCGGAAUUUCUGGUGUAGCGGUGAAAUGCGCAGAUAUCAGGAAGAACACCCGUGGCGAAGGCGGCUCUCUGGGACGGUACUGACGCUGAGACGCGAAAGCGUGGGGAGCGAACAGG
rnacentral:rRNA from 1 species